AUACGUAUGUCGCAAGCGUUAUCCGGAUUUAUUGGGCGUAAAGCGCGUCUAGGCGGCUUAGUAAGUCUGAUGUGAAAAUGCGGGGCUCAACCCCGUAUUGCGUUGGAAACUGCUAAACUAGAGUACUGGAGAGGUAGGCGGAACUACAAGAGUAGAGGUGAAAUUCGUAGAUAUUUGUAGGAAUGCCGAUGGGGAAGCCAGCCUACUGGACAGAUACUGACGCUAAAGCGCGAAAGCGUGGGUAGCAAACAGGAUUAGAUACCCUGGUAGUCCACGCCGUAAACGAUGAUUACUAGGUGUUGGGGGUCGAACCUCAGCGCCCAAGCUAACGCGAUAAGUAAUCCGCCUGGGGAGUACGUACGCAAGUAUGAAACUCAAAUGAAUUGACGGGG
rnacentral:rRNA from 1 species